rnacentral:rRNA from 1 species
AAUGGGUGGUAAAUUCCAUCUAAAGCUAAAUAUUGGCGAGAGACCGAUAGCGAACAAGUACCGUGAGGGAAAGAUGAAAAGCACUUUUGAAAGAGAGUUAAACAGUACGUGAAAUUGUUGAAAGGGGAACGAUUGAAGUCAGUCGUGUUCAUUGGACUCAGCCGGUUUUCGGUGUACUUCCUUUGAACGGGUCAACAUCAGUUUUGUCCGGUGGAUAAAGGCAGGAAGAAAGUGGCUUGCUUGCAAGUGUUAUAGCUUUCUGUCACAUACACUGGGGGAGACUGAGGACUGCAGCUCGCCUUUUGGCCGGGGUUCGUCCACGUUCGAGCCUAGGAUGUUGACAUAAUGGCUUUAAA